rnacentral:rRNA from 1 species
GAUGAACGCUGGCGGCGCGCCUAACACAUGCAAGUCGAACGAGUAAAUCAGCUUCGGGUGCGUAUAAAGUGGCGAACGGCUGAGUAACACGUGGGCAAUCGGCCCCUUUCAUUGGGAUAGCUACUGGAAACGGUGGAUAUUAUCGAAUACUUCGUGACUCCCGCAUGGAAGACCCGAGGAAGCUCCGGCGGAGAGGGAUGGGACGGCGCUCUGUUAGCUUGUUGGUGGGGUAACGGCCUACCAAGGCAAUGAUGGGUAGCUGGGUUGAGAGGACGACCAGCCAAAUCAGAACUGGGCCACGACCCAGACUCCAACGGGAGGCAACGGAGGGGAAUCUUAUACAGUGGGCGAGGCCCUGGUGCGACGCAGCCACGUGCGGGAUGAAGGCCUUCGGGUUGUGAACCGAUUUCAGCAGAGACGAGGCGAAAGUGACGGUACCUGCAGAAGAAGCCCCGGCUAACUCCGUG